GACAGAGGGGGCAAGCGUUGCUCGGAAUCACUGGGCGUAAAGGGCGCGUAGGCGGGAUGGCAAGUCAGUCGUGAAAUCUCUCGGCUCAACCGAGAAACGUCGGCUGAUACUGCCGUUCUUGAGGGAUGCAGAGGAGACUGGAAUUCCCGGUGUAGCGGUGAAAUGUGUAGAGAUCGGGAGGAACACCGGUGGCGAAGGCGGGUCUCUGGGCAUCUCCUGACGCUGAGACGCGAAAGCUAGGGGAGCGAACAGG
rnacentral:rRNA from 1 species